rnacentral:lncRNA from 1 species
AGCCGCCCCCUCCUCCGUAGUUGGUCUUGUAAAUGUGCAGUGUCCUAGUGCCCAUCGUGUGUUGCCCCGCCUGGCCCGGCCCCUUCCUCCCUGUGCUGUGGACAUUGGCCCACUCAUCUCCCAUCCAGGCCCCUGACCAGUGAGGAUGCCAGCCUCUGGCCCCCGCCCACCGCCCUAGAGGGCUCUGUGUAUAAGGAUGAAUUACAGUUGUAAUUUUUCUCUUCACUGGAUGUUUAUUUAUAAAAGAUUUGACCUAUUCAUGUGUCUGUGGAGCAACCCUCAUCUCCCAACUAUAUAGUACCCUUUAGGUAGAGUGUUGCCUUGUGAGGUCCCCCUUGCCGAGACUCCUUGGAUGGAACCGCCCCUUGCGACCGGUGUCCAGGUCGGGGGCAGAACGCCAGCCACCAGGCCCUGGCGCCCAGCUGUGUCCAAUAAAGUUCUCGGAUGUGAAAAAAAAAAAAAAAACAAAACACAAAAUAUUAAGCUAGUCUUAUUUGCU